CACGUAGUUGGCCGGUGCUUCUUCUGCAGGUACCGUCACUUGCGCUUCGUCCCUGCUGAAAGAGGUUUACAACCCGAAGGCCGUCAUCCCUCACGCGGCGUCGCUGCAUCAGGCUUGCGCCCAUUGUGCAAUAUUCCCCACUGCUGCCUCCCGUAGGAGCCUGGGCCGUGUCUCAGUCCCAGUGUGGCCGGUCGCCCUCUCAGGCCGGCUACCCGUCGUCGCCUUGGUAGGCCAUUACCCCACCAACAAGCUGAUAGGCCGCGGGCCCAUCCUGCACCGAUAAAUCUUUCCACCACACGGCAUGCACCGCGCAGUACUAUCCGGUAUUAGACCCAGUUUCCCGGGCUUAUCCCGAAGUGCAGGGCAGAUCACCACGUGUUACUCACCCGUUCGCCACUCGUGUACCCCGAAGGGCCUUACCGUUCGACUUGCAUGUGUUAAGCACGCCGCCAGCGUUCGUCCUUGACGCCAGGAGUCAAACUCUA
rnacentral:rRNA from 1 species